GGAAGUAAAAGUCGUAACAAGAUUUCCGUAGGUGAACCUGCGGAAGGAUCAUUCACAACAAGUGUUUUAUGGCACUUUUUAAACAAUCCAUAUCCACCUUGUGUGCAACGUUUGGAGACCCUCGACAUCGUCACCUUUUUGGGGUGAUGGGAAAGAGGGAACCUCUAUAAUUUACCAACACAUCACCUUUAACUUAUUUGUCUGAACAUUUGUUAUCACGAAUUAACUUAAUUCGAAAAUACAACUUUCAACAACGGAUCUCUUGGCUCUC
rnacentral:misc_RNA from 1 species